UCAUCAAGCAAAAAUUUUAGGUAAACAUAGUAGUACCUUGUGUUCUUGCUGUUUUGUCUGCCUCAAUUUGUCCUGUAACCUGAAUCCACCAAUCAGAACUUUCCUUAGCGCGCCAAACACAAAACCACCACAACAUCAUUCAUUGUCUCUCAUUCACACUCACUCACGUACCAUUUGCAGAGAGGGUUUUGUGCGCCAUGGCGGAUGCACCAACCAGCCCCGUCGGCGGGAGUCACGAGAGUGGCGGCGAGCAGAGUCCGCGUGGUUCAGCGCGGGAACAGGACCGGUACCUGCCAAUUGCCAAUAUCAGCCGGAUCAUGAAGAAGGGUUUGCCGGCUAAUGGGAAGAUUGCUAAGGAUGCUAAGGAUACCAUGCAGGAAUGUGUUUCUGAAUUCAUCAGCUUUAUUACCAGCGAGGCGAGUGAGAAAUGCCAGAAAGAGAAGAGAAAGACCAUUAAUGGAGAUGAUUUGCUGUGGGCGAUGGCUACGUUAGGAUUUGAAGACUAUAUAGAGCCGCUCAAGUUGUACCUAGCAAGGUACAGAGAGGUAAUUUUAUUUUGGUUAAUUCAUAGACAAUAUGUGGAUAUUUGUGAGAACUUGAUGAGACAAUUGGAAUCACCUAUAUUAGAUCCUCAUCCUAGGAAAAUGACUCUUUUGAAGUGUUGAGUAUUGGUGAUACAUAAAAAUGAUGAAUUUAUUCUUCUUACUUUUCAUUUACUUGUCUAUCUUGAGUUGUUGAUGGAUGUUUGGUUGGAUGAGAGAGGUGGGCUGGGGGCCAUUUCAUUGAAUGGAUAUAUAAUGUUCUCUUUCUUUCCUCUUCAUUUUAAUGCUGAAGUUUUGAUUGCGUUCCUUAUGGCUUUAUAGUUAUCUGACUGUUUCUUUUACCUUUUUUAUUUGCUCGGUGAUUUUGAAAUGUCUGCAAUUAUCACAGUUGGAGGGUGACACUAAAGGAUCUGCUAGAAGUGGUGAUGGAUCUGGUAGACGAGAUCAAGUUGGAAUUGCAGGUCAAAAUGCUCAGCUUGUUCAUCAGGGUUCGCUGAACUAUAUUGGUUCCCAGGCCCCGGGGGCUUGGUUUGAGCACCUUGAUGCACUCCAAUCAACUUCAGAUUCCGGCCUAGUGCAGCCACAGCAUCUGGUCAUGCCCUCAAUGCAAAGCCAUGAAUAGAUUAGAUGCUUAUUCCACUCAUCUUAAUUAUUCCACUUAAAAUGAUUGUGCACAUGGCAUGGACAGAAACAAUGGUUUGAUAAUUUAAAAAAUUAGGUUCUGGUGUAGAAGGCAAGGGUGUCAGAAUUUUGUGGCAGUGCUCAUGUAGGUUUUUGAAUACAUAUAUCAGAAUUAGCUUCUGACUGACUAAACGGAGAGAUAAGUGUGGGUUUUUUGCAUAUGAUUCGCCAUGUAGCUUGUGAUGGUGAGAUACACCUGCUUUGGAAACUUCAUUUAAAUUAUAUAUUGUAGGAAUGAAAUCAUUUUGUUACCAUUAUUGUUCUUCUUUUGCUCC